AUACGAAGGGUGCAAGCGUUACUCGGAAUUACUGGGCGUAAAGCGUGCGUAGGUGGUUCGUUAAGUCUGCCGUGAAAGCCCCGGGCUCAACCUGGGAAGUGGCGGUGGAUACUGGCGGACUAGAGUGCGGUAGAGGGUGGUGGAAUUCCCGGUGUAGCAGUGAAAUGCGUAGAGAUCGGGAGGAACAUCUGUGGCGAAGGCGGCCACCUGGACCAGCACUGACACUGAGGCACGAAAGCGUGGGGAGGC
rnacentral:rRNA from 1 species